CAUUCAACUUGGAUGGUUAUGCCGUUGACUGUCUUCGGCAUAACCAUUCAACUUGGAUGGUUAUGCCGUUGACUGUCUUCGGCAUAACCAUUCAA